rnacentral:rRNA from 1 species
UACGUAGGCAGCAAGUGUUGUUCGGAGUUACUGGGCGUAAAGGGUGUGUAGGCGGUUGCUUAAGUUUGGUGUGAAAUCUCCCGGCUCAACCGGGAGGGUGCGCCGAAUACUGAGUGACUCGAGUGCGGGAGAGGAAAGUGGAAUUCCUGGUGUAGCGGUGAAAUGCGUAGAUAUCAGGAGGAACACCGGUGGUGUAGACGGCUUUCUGGACCGUAACUGACGCUGAAACACGAAAGCGUGGGUAGCAAACAGG